CUCCUAAAAGGUAACGGAGGCGCUCAAAGGUUCCCUCAGAAUGGUUGGAAAUCAUUCAUAGAGUGUAAAGGCAUAAGGGAGCUUGACUGCGAGACCUACAAGUCGAGCAGGGUCGAAAGACGGACUUAGUGAUCCGGUGGUUCCGCAUGGAAGGGCCAUCGCUCAACGGAUAAAAGCUACCCCGGGGAUAACAGGCUUAUCUCCCCCAAGAGUUCACAUCGACGGGGAGGUUUGGCACCUCGAUGUCGGCUCAUCGCAUCCUGGGGCUGUAGUCGGUCCCAAGGGUUGGGCUGUUCGCCCAUUAAAGCGGUACGCUAGCUGGGUUCAGAACGUCGUGAGACAGUUCGGUCCCUAUCCGUCGUGGGCGUAGGAAAUUUGAGAGGAGCUGUCCUUAGUACGAGAGGACCGGGAUGGACAUACCUCUGGUGUACCAGUUGUCGUGCCAACGGCAUAGCUGGGUAGCUAUGUAUGGACGGGAUAAGUGCUGAAAGCAUCUAAGCAUGAAGCCCCCCUCAAGAUGAGAUUUCCCAACUUCGGUUAUAAGAUCCCUCAGAGAUGAUGAGGUUAAUAGGUUCGAGGUGGAAGCGUGGUGACACGUGGAGCUGACGAAUACUAAUCGAUCGAAGACUUAAUCAAUUU
rnacentral:rRNA from 1 species